rnacentral:ribozyme from 14 species
ACAAAUUCAAUAUUAUAAUAAUAUAUAAUAAUUUGACCGACCGCAACAGUAAAAAAGCCACAACACUGCUGCGAAAGUUUUUUGAAGUUUUUAUUUUUUUUUAUUUUAUUUAUUUCAUUUUUUAUUGGUUCUUCUAACGAGUG